rnacentral:lncRNA from 1 species
UAAAAGUUGGGGUUCUCCAUGGGGAUGGAGGAGAAUGGUGCAAAAUUCUCCUGAUGAGAUGGCAUUCCUGGAAGACAGACCCUUCUGCUACACAUAACAAGUAGGGAGUGAUCUCUUCAUGGGUCAAAGCAAGCACGGAUCACAGAAUUAAGGAGGUUCUAGCUGGAAGGUGACUUAGUAUAAUGGGGCAGAAUGUAAUUUUUCUGGGAAGCAGAUGAGUAUCUAUGCCCUGUAAGGACAGUAUCUCCUAGCUGGGGUCCUGAGUUCUCCAUUGCAAGAUUCCAUGCAAGGUGAAGUCUUGAACACCAUCACUAGGAUUUUUGACCAUGAAUCUACUAUAAGACCAGAUCUCAUGCUUGCUGAAAGGCUCCCAAUUUAAAUCACUGGACCUUUUUACAUGUGUAAAAUAUGAGAUUGGUGACAGAGUGAUCAGCAUCUUACAGAAAUGAAUGCCCAGUGAGUAUAGAGAUUCAUUUUUCCUCUUUCCAUAUUAUAGAAUCAUGAUUACCAGACAGUUAUGAAGUCAUUAGUGGAGCAAUA